ACAAAAUCUGAAAUUUUGUUCCUUUGCUCCCUUCCUGUUUCGAACCACUACCCACCACCUUCAACCACCACUCCGUUCGUCACCAAUCACCAACCCACGAACCACCAGCCACCGCGUCGACCGCCCAGAACCGCCCCAAGUCACCACCACCACUUCCCCUAUUUCCUCUCUGUUUCGCACACCUCUGUCUCCCUCUUUCUUCGUCGCUGCUGCACCCCCCCAAGCCACCGCACCACCUUUUAUAACCACCUCAAUCCCCGGCGAUAGGCCGCUGCGCCGCCCCGGGUUCGACCAAGAAACACCCCUCCCGUGCUUUUUCUCUGUUUCGUUCGAACACCCCUUUCCUUUUCCUUGCAGCUCCGCCGCCGCGAAACCACCACCACCGCUGUCGCCUCUCAGCCGUGGUUCCGCAGUGCGCCGCCCAGCCGCCACCCCUGUCUCCCUUCUUCCUCCUCUGCUCCUCCUUCGAGCCCUCCCCUCCCCUGCUCCCGUGUUUCCUUUCCCAGAAAAAGAAAACAAGUUCCAUUUAGGAACUUUGUUUUAUUUAUUUCUCAAGCCAAGCCCAAAUCACUUAGCCCAAUUUUCCCAAUAAAUUGGACUCGGAGUUCAGGAAGAACGAUCCAUCGAACAGGAAGUAUAAACUACGGUUGAGGUACGAAGAAGAUCGUGGGAUGCCUUAGAGUGAGGAUGCAACCAUCAAAUUCACGAUCGAUGUUUAAAUAAAGAUAACUAUGUCAUUAGCAAUAAAGGGAUGUAUUAUUUAAAGUCUAAGUUCGAUUUCAUGAUUUGAGUUAGACUUUAAUAUUAAUGUUUAAUCAGAUGUUAAAAGUAUUUAUUAUUAAAGUUUAUUUAGUAAUUUAAAAAGGUUAUGUCGCCUUGUAUUUCCCACGAGGGAGAUACGGCAAGUGACGCUCCGACUAAAUUAGGGUUUCCGCUGCUAAUUAAAGAUAAUUAACCUAAUUAAUGGUGUUUAGAAGUCGGGGCGUUACACUAAGAGACAUCAAAAGUGAAUUUAUUAAAUAACCUCACCUCUUCACUUGUAUAAUAGAGAUAUCUCUUCCUUUUGUGGUCCCACAAUUAUUCACAU